CGACUCCUGAGGGGACGGUCCCCGACGGGGAGCUGUUGUGUACCGCAGAGAUGCGCGAACAUCCGUAAAAGUAAAUACGUAACGGCCCCACGUAAACACGUUUGCAAAGGAAUCCUGGCAAGCCCAAGAGAUGGGGACUUUGGAGGCUUUGUCUAAGCCUGAGUCACUGAAGACCUUGGGUUCCUGCUGCCAAGCCCUGGCUGCUGGUGCUGACAACGGGCAGGAUUUGUUUCAUUAAGAAACAACCAGCUCUCAUCAUCAAAUGGUUAUUCAACACAAUUAUUGCUGUGUAUUCAAGAGCCUAAAUGUAGACCUAAAAUCAGCUCUUCUCAGUGUAAGAUGCGUUCUCCAAGCACUGGUUUCUUGCAGCUGCCGGAGCAGAACAGAUCACGAACUGCUGUCAGCACCACGUUUGGAAAGAGCGGCCGAGUUUCUUCUGACAGAGUUGGCACUAAUGAACAAUAAUCAUUUUUUAAAAAUAUAAUGGGAAAGACUUGGGAAGGUUAAUAAGACAGCAGAACCCCUGUGCGCUGCAUCAGCUUUGAGAAGAGAACAAAAACUACGUGUUUGCUAAAAUAACUUUAAAAACAAAUAACAUUGACUUUCCACACCUAGCG
rnacentral:lncRNA from 1 species